rnacentral:misc_RNA from 1 species
AGACACGCUCCUCUUGUACUCUGCAAUUGCAUCUCUCAACAAUCUUCACUACUUCUCCUCCAUUAACCACCGUUUUCACUACCCACCACAACCCAUUCGUUCUCCCUAAUGGUAACGGCUAUUUUUCUAUUCUCUAUUUGUUAUGCCACCUUCUUCACCUUUGGUCUAUGCGACGCCGUUCCAUUGUCGGAGAUCCAAGCUUUGACUUCGUUCAAGCUCCGUCUCCAUGAUCCCCUUGGCGCAUUGGACGGCUGGGAUGCUUCCACGCCUUCAGCUCCAUGUGACUGGCGCGGCAUUGUCUGU